rnacentral:rRNA from 1 species
AGGCAGCAGUGGGGAAUAUUGCACAAUCGGGGGAAACCCUGAUGCAGCCAUGCCGCGUGUGUGAAGAAGGCCUUCGGGUUGUAAAGCACUUUCAGUAGGGAGGAAGGUAGUGUAGUUAACACCUGCAUUAUUUGACGUUACCUACAGAAGAAGCACCGGCUAACUCCGUGCCAGCAGCCGCGGUAAUACGGAGGGUGCGAGCGUUAAUCGGAAUUACUGGGCGUAAAGCGCAUGCAGGCGGCCUGUUAAGUCAGAUGUGAAAGCCCGGGGCUUAACCUCGGAAUUGCAUUUGAAACUGGCAGGCUAGAGUCUUGUAGAGGGGGGUAGGAAUUUCAGGUGUAGCGGUGAAAUGCGUAGAGAUCUGAAGGAAUACCAGUGGCGAAGGCGGCCCCCUGGACAAAGACUGACGCUCAGAUGCGAAAGCGUGGGGAGCAAACAGGAUUAGAUACCCUGGUAG